UUGGACUCCUGUGGUCCAAGAGAUCAUGACUGUUAAAUUGAAUGUCAUAAGCUUGAUUGUAGGAGAAAACUGAUAUUUAAAAGUGGUAUUUGCAUGUACUUGCCAUUUUCAACCAAUGUCAUUAUUGUAAAUGUCUCGAAUACGGUGGCUACAAGGGUUGCUUACCUGGCCGUACAAUUGAUUGGGAGGAUUGCAAUUGAAGAGAGUCCAAUUACUGUCCUGCAUUCAUUGUAUCUAAAUGAAAAUGGCAGUCCCGAUCUCUU
rnacentral:lncRNA from 1 species